rnacentral:rRNA from 1 species
UACAGAGGUCUCAAGCGUUGUUCGGAUUCAUUGGGCGUAAAGGGUGCGUAGGCGGCGCGGUAAGUCGGGUGUGAAAUUUCGAGGCUUAACUUCGAAACUGCAUUCGAUACUGCCGUGCUAGAGGACUGGAGAGGAGACUGGAAUUUACGGUGUAGCGGUGAAAUGCGUAGAUAUCUGGAGGAACACCGGUGGCGAAGGCGGCAUCCUGGACCAACACUGACGCUGAGGCGCGAAAGCUAGGGGAGCGAACAGG